UACGUAGGCAGCAAGCGUUGUUCGGAGUUACUGGGCGUAAAGGGUGUGUAGGCGGUUCCUUAAGUUUGCUGUGAAAUCUCCCGGCUUAACCGGGAGGGUGCGGGUGAAUACUGAGGGACUAGAGUACGGGAGAGGAAAGUGGGAAUUCCUGGUGUAGCGGUGAAAUGCGUAGAUAUCAGGAGGAACACCGGUGGUGUAGACGGCUUUCUGGACCGUAACUGACGCUGAGACACGAAAGCGUGGGUAGCAAACAGG
rnacentral:rRNA from 1 species